CUCUUAUCCAGAGCGGUGGAGGGACUGGCCCUAUGAAACCCGGCAACCAUCAAACCAUGUUUGAAAGGUGCUAAAUCCUGCUAAGUAAUGUACUUAGAUAGAUGAGAG
rnacentral:ncRNA from 2 species